UACAGAGGUCCCAAGCGUUGUUCGGAUUCAUUGGGCGUAAAGGGUGCGUAGGUGGCGUCGUAAGUCGGGGGUGAAAUCUCGGGGCUUAACUCCGAAACUGCAUUCGAUACUGCGGUGCUUGAGGACUGGAGAGGAGACUGGAAUUUACGGUGUAGCAGUGAAAUGCGUAGAGAUCGUAAGGAAGACCAGUGGCGAAGGCGGGUCUCUGGACAGCAACUGACGCUGAGGCACGAAGGCCAGGGGAGCAAACGGG
rnacentral:rRNA from 1 species